GUUGGGAGAUGAUGAGAAAAUUCAGACACAUCAUCUGAGGCAUCAGCUCUGCUGAGAACCUAUUUUGCACGUCAGUCUGAUCCCAAA